rnacentral:piRNA from 1 species
UGAUCUUACAGCACAGGCCAUUGAUGUUC